rnacentral:rRNA from 1 species
AGAGUUUGAUCCUGGCUCAGGACGAACGCUGACGGUGUGCUUUAGGCAUGCAAGUCGAACGAGAAAGCCCUUCGGGGUGAGUAGAGUGGCGAACGGGUGAGUAACACGUGGGCAACCUGCCCCUCGCAGGGGGAUAACCGGAGGAAACUCCGGCUAAUACCCCGUAAGCUUUCAGGGUCGCAUGGCUCUGUAAGGAAAGGUAGCUUCGGCCAUCCGGCGAGGGAUGGGCCCGCGGCUUAUCAGCUUGUUGGUGGGGUGAUGGCCUACCAAGGCGACGACGGGUAGCCGGCCUGAGAGGGCGACCGGCCACACUGGGACUGAGACACGGCCCAGACUCCUACGGGAGGCAGCAGUGGGGAAUAUUGGACAAUGGGCGGAAGCCUGACGCAGCGACGCCGCGUGGGGGAUGACGGCCUUCGGGUUGUAAAGCCCUGUUGAUAGGGACGAAGGGCGAAGGGUUAAUAGCCCGGAGCUUGACGGUACCUUUCGAGGAAGCCCCGGCUAACUACGUGCCAGCAGCCGCGGUAAUACGUAGGGGGCGAGCGUUGUCCGGAAUUAUUGGGCGUAAAGAGCGUGUAGGCGGUUCGGUAAGUCUGUCGUGAAAUCCUGGGGCUCAACCCUGGGCGUGCGAUGGAUACUGCCGGGCUAGAGGGUGGUAGAGGCGAGUGGAAUUCCCGGUGUAGCGGUGAAAUGCGCAGAUAUCGGGAGGAACACCAGUAGCGAAGGCGGCUCGCUGGGCCACACCUGACGCUGAGACGCGAAAGCUAGGGGAGCGAACAGGAUUAGAUACCCCGGUAGUCC